rnacentral:rRNA from 1 species
AUUGAACGCUGGCGGCAGGCCUAACACAUGCAAGUCGAGCGGAGCGGCGGACGGGUGAGUAAUGUAUGGGGAUCUGCCCGAUAGCGGGGGAUAACUACUGGAAACGGUGGCUAAUACCGCAUACUGUCGGAUGACCCCAUAUGGGAUUAGCUAGUAGGUGGGGUAACGGCUAACCUAGGCGACGAUCUCUAGCUGGUCUGCGAGGAGGAACAGUAACACGGGAACUGAGACACGGUCCAGACUCCUACGGGAGCAAUCAGUGGGGAAUCUUGGACAAUGGGCGAAAGCCUGAUCCAGCCAUGCCGCGUGUGUGAAGAAGGUCUUCGGAUUGUAAAGCACUUUAAGUUGGGAGGCGUUACCAACAGAAUAAGCACCGGCUAACUUCGUGCCAGCCGCCGCGGUAAUAC